rnacentral:rRNA from 1 species
UACGUAGGGGGCAAGCGUUGUCCGGAAUCAUUGGGCGUAAAGCGCGCGUAGGUGGCCAUGUAAGUCCGCUGUGAAAGUCAAAGGCUCAACCUUUGAAAGCCGGUGGAUACUGCACGGCUAGAGUACGGAAGAGCGAGUGGAAUUCCUGGUGUAGCGGUGGAAUGCGCAGAUAUCAGGAGGAACACCAAUAGCGAAGGCAGCUC